UACGGAGGGGACUAGCGUUGUUCGGAAUUACUGGGCGUAAAGCGCACGUAGGCGGAUUUGUAAGUCAGGGGUGAAAUCCCGGGGCUCAACCUCGGAACUGCCUUUGAUACUGCAAAUCUCGAGUCCGGAAGAGGUGAGUGGAAUUCCUAGUGUAGAGGUGAAAUUCGUAGAUAUUGGGAAGAACACCGGUGGCGAAGGCGGCUCGCUGGACAUGUAUUGACGCUGAGACACGAAAGCGUGGGGAGCAAACAGG
rnacentral:rRNA from 1 species